rnacentral:misc_RNA from 1 species
UUUCCGUAGGUGAACCUGCGGAAGGAUCAUUCAUAAUAAAGUGUUUUAUGGCACUUUUUGAAAAUCCAUAUCCACCUUGUGUGCAAUGUUAGAUCUCGUCAAUCUUGGCGAGAUUUUUAUACAUCAACUCAUUCUUUAACUAAUUUGUCUGAAAAAUAUUAUGAAUACUUAAUUCAAAAUACAACUUUCAACAACGGAUCUCUUGGCUCUC